CUGUUUUGGUCUUCAGACCCGCUUUUCAACAUGAAGAUUGUGCUUCUGCUGGAUUUAGUUUUGUUGUGGAGUAUUGCGUUUAACUAUUCAUCAGGACUCAGAUCAAGAUCAAGGAGAAUGGAAGCAUAUGGACGACGUUUUGAGCAACAAAGCAUAGGAUUCAUAUCGAAAAUUGGCAAUAUUUUUUGCGGGCAAUGCUGUGUGUUUCCUCGUGGCAGUGUUAGAAGGCAGUGUAUGAAACGUUUUUGUCUCAACCCGAAGCGAUGUUAGAUAUCAAUACCUGUAUAUGUAUUUGCUAUAUUGUUAUAAACGAUUAUGUUCUCAAUCAUUAGAAUGUGUUUUAUGCAACUUGUACUACCCUAUUUUCGAAUGUCUGUAAAAAAGUAGUAAAAAAGCAAUAUUAAAAAGAAAAAGAGGUGAAAAUCUGACGAAAGGGAAAUUAAGAUGCCUCACAAUCUUUUAAGGUGUGAACAUUUGAAAAUUUUUGUCAUUUUAGUCGAAAUUCUUGUGUGUGGUUUUUUUUCUCGAAUCUAUAACAACAAUUUUCCAAAGGGGUAUGUUUACCUUUUUUCCUGAAAUUGAAUAAGCUAUCUAAAGUGAGGAAAUGCAAGGCAAUAAAUCAAUUGUUUAAAUACCGACGUAAUAAAAUGUCAAAGUAC
rnacentral:sRNA from 1 species